UGAUUUCUGGGAUUAUUGCAAAAGGCUGCUGGGCCUUGGUCUGAUCUAGCAAACCCUUUCAUGUGUUCUUACAUAAAGAAUACAUAAUACUCGGUUUCACUUAACCCAGAUUAGUUAUGCUUUAUCUGUGUUAGAUCCUGAGUGUGCAUGCUUGCUUGGUAAAUGGAAAACCCAAGUUUGGUUUGAGGACUACAGAGAUAUUACCGUAUUGGCCCAAAUAUAAGCCACACCUGUAAAAUUAAAGGGGAAAGAAAAAAAGACAAUACCUGAGGAGGAGCGGGGGCCAAGGAGGCAGCGCCUUCACUCCGGCAGCAGUGCUUCCAUAGGGUCAGCACCACCAUGGCUCCCCAAAGGGAUGAGAGAGGCGGCGGCUGGUGGGACUCACGCCCCUUGGCAGGCUAAAGCCAGGCAGCAGCUCCGGAUAGUACUAGUCCCAGCAUACCGGCUGCAUCUCCUGUUACUCCUCCUAGAAUACCUUCUUGCUUUCACCCACACUCCUCCCUUCCUUGCCGCCUUCUGGCUCCCUCUCAGGGACCCUCUCAGCCUGCCGCCAUCUUGGGAGCCCGCCCAGCCGAAACCAGGCAACAUCCGGGGAUAAGCCUGCUCCAACCCAAUUUUGUCCAGUUCCAGUUGGUUUGACACACUGGUGGACUGGGCCAUGGCCUUCUUAAGGAACCAACUGGCUGCCUGGAUCCAGCGGCUGGGAGGCUGGAACGCAAUGCUAAACUGGAACCUGUUUCAACCAGAAGUGAGAAGGGAAAAGCCUGCGAAACACCAUUGCUACUAUCGAAAAUUGUGCUUGGCUCCUAUGGUUUGGGAAGUGUGGGAAGGAAUUGAAUUUGUUUGGGAGGGUUUUCCCCUGACCAAAAUAAUCAGAAAGUAAAAAAAAGAAACUUUUAUUCUCUCUCUCUCUCCAGUACAGUAGUACCUC